rnacentral:rRNA from 1 species
CUAAAAUGAGAGUUUGAUCCUGGCUCAGGACGAACGCUGGCGGCGUGCCUAAUACAUGCAAGUAGAACGCUGAGGUCUAGUGCUUGCACAAGACCAAGGAGUUGCGAACGGGUGAGUAACGCGUAGGUAACCUACCUCAUAGCGGGG